GAUGAACGCUGGCGGCGUGCCUAACACAUGCAAGUCGAACGGAAAGGCCCUGCUUGCAGGGUACUCGAGUGGCGAACGGGCGAGUAACUCGCGGGUGAAUUGCCCUCCACUUCGGGUUAAGCCAGGUCAACUGGGCCUAAUACCGGAUAGGAGCUAUUUUUAGCGUGAUGGUUGGAAAGUUUUUUCGGUGUAGGAUGAGCCCACGGCGUGUUAGCUAGUUGGUGGGGUAAAGGCCUACCAAGGCGGCGAUGCGUAGCCGACCUGAGAGGGUGAUCGGCCACAGUGGAACGGAGACACGGUCCAGACUCCUAAGGGAGGCAGCAGUGGGGAAUCUUCCGCAAUGGGCGAAAGCCUGACGGAGCAACGCCGCGUGAGUGAUGAAGGUCUUCGGAUCGUAAAACUCUGUUAUUAGGGAAGAACAAAUGUGUAAGUAACUAUGCACGUCUUGACGGUACCUAAUCAGAAAGCCACGGCUAACUACGUG
rnacentral:rRNA from 1 species